rnacentral:rRNA from 1 species
AUGACGAUCCUAAGCUGGAACUGUCGGGGUCUUGGGCAGCCUCAGAUAGUUCAGGAACUUGUAUGCCUUGUGCAUACCUACAAGCCCAAGCUUGUGUUCCUCUCUGAAACUCGGCAAAGCACCUUGUAUGUUAAUAAGUUGAGAUGGAGGCUAGGCCUCAAACACUGUAUUGUGCAGCCCGACAUUGGCAAAAGUGCUGGUAUCGUGCUCUUCUGUGAUGAAAGUGUGGAAGUAAUAAAGCUUGUCGUUGGCCUAAGGUACAUCGACGUGUUAAUUCGUUUGAAUCCAAAUGAAAUGCAGUGGCGAGGUACUUUUGUCUACGGUGAACCGAAAGCUCAUAUAAGACAUAACAUAUGGGAGCUGAUGCGUAGAAUAAAACCCAACUCCAGCGCUUCCUGGAUGAUGAUAGGUGAUUUCAACGAGACAAUGUGGCAAUCUAAACAUAUAUCAGCCUCGAGGAGGUCAGAGAGAUACAUGGAAAAUGUUAGGAGGGUCCUAUCGGAUUGUAACCUCUUUGACUUGGGGUUUAAGGGACCAGUUUGGAAACACAAUAACAAACAUGAUGGCCAUAGCAAUGUGAAGGCAAGGCUAGACAAAGGGGUGGCGUCCCCGAGUUGGUCAGAUCAUCUCGAUUAG